rnacentral:lncRNA from 1 species
GUGAGCCUGUCGCAUCGACUGUCCCAGUGAGCAAGGGGAUCCUACUGGACUUGUUCCUGCUCGAUGGACCGGCACCGCCCAUGAUCAUCAAUGGACCAUAUUGGAUGGCUCCAUAAUCCUAUAUACACCUCGCCAAGAAUAGCAAGUGUCACUUUAGUUAUGUUGCCUUAUGUUUAUCUUUGCUAUGUUGUUAAUUAGUAACUUUAGAUUUUGUUGGAACCCUAGCCAUCUUUGCUAUGAUGUUAUCUUUUGUUUGUAAGAUCAAUGGACAGUUUCCUUUGGAUGGAGGAUCAAUCCCCUUUUUCUGCUCUAUUUUAUGUUUGUGAUUAUAUUUGUAAUAGUGCAUCUAUUUUUUUAGAGGUUGAAAAUCAAUGUGGGAUGAAUAUUAACAAAUAAUGUAAUUCUAUUAGGCUCUCUCUCAAAACCAAGGAAAUCCUUGCCCACCUUGCCAAAAUUCAUACCAUUUUUCCCACAAAGGAUCAAACAUUUUGGUCUAUUUCCUUUUGGACGGAAGAUCAAUCCCCUGUUUUCGUGCUUUGUUUGCUCUGUUUCCUCUCCCUCACCCUUUCCGACAAAUGAUAGAAAAUUUUAGUCCGUCCUAUUUACUUUUCCGACAAC